rnacentral:rRNA from 1 species
GAUGAACGCUAGCGGCAGGCUUAAUACAUGCAAGUCGAGGGGCAGCAUGAACGUAGCAAUACAUUUGAUGGCGACCGGCAAACGGGUGCGGAACACGUACACAACCUUCCUAUAAGUGGGGAAUAGCCCAGAGAAAUUUGGAUUAAUACCCCGUAACAUAAUGAUGUGGCAUCACAUUAUUAUUAUAGCUUCGGCGCUUAUUGAUGGGUGUGCGGCUGAUUAGAUAGUUGGCGGGGUAACGGCCCACCAAGUCUACGAUCAGUAGCUGAUGUGAGAGCAUGAUCAGCCACACGGGCACUGCGACACGGGCCCGACUCCUACGGGAGGCAGCAGUAAGGAAUAUUGGUCAAUGGACGCAAGUCUGAACCAGCCAUGCCGCGUGAAGGAUUAAGGUCCUCUGGAUUGUAAACUUCUUUUAUCUGGGACGAAAAAAGGCUAUUCUUAGUCACUUGACGGUACCAGAUGAAUAAGCACCGGCUAACUCCGUGCCAGCCGCCGCUGUAAGAC